CAUUUGGUCCUGAGAUGCAUUCUUGGGUGGCUUUUACUUGUUUUUUAGAUGCAUGGUUUCUACUUAACUUUUGUUUUCCUCAAAAAAGUGGUUGACUGGUUGUGUUCUCAUGGGAUGAUUUGCUAAAAUGCUAGACUAUAUUUGCUGAACAUUUGGCCCUGCGAUGCAUUAUUCUUAGGUGGCUUCUACUUCUUUUUUAGAUCUUAUGGAUUCUGUUCAACUUGUGACAUCCCUAAAAGUGGUUGACUGGUUGUAUCACUCAUGGGGUGAUUUGUUGAACCAUAAUCAAUCCUUUUUUCUUUUUUUGGGAUAAGCAAACAGAACAUCUAUUAAUAAAUGGCUGCCAAGAAAAGCGGGUGCAACCCAUGUUUACAGGCAGUGUACACA
rnacentral:lncRNA from 1 species